rnacentral:rRNA from 1 species
UACGAAGGGGGCUAGCGUUGCUCGGAAUCACUGGGCGUAAAGGGUGCGUAGGCGGGUCUUUAAGUCAGGGGUGAAAUCCUGGAGCUCAACUCCAGAACUGCCUUUGAUACUGAAGAUCUUGAGUUCGGGAGAGGUGAGUGGAACUGCGAGUGUAGAGGUGAAAUUCGUAGAUAUUCGCAAGAACACCAGUGGCGAAGGCGGCUCACUGGCCCGGUACUGACGCUGAGGCACGAAGGUCAGGGGAGCAAACGGG